rnacentral:rRNA from 1 species
GAUGAACGCUGGCGGCGUGCCUAAUACAUGCAAGUCGAGCGAACAGACGAGGAGCUUGCUCCUCUAACGUUAGCGGCGGACGGGUGAGUAACACGUGGAUAACCUACCUAUAAGACUGGGAUAACUUCGGGAAACCGGAGCUAAUACCGGAUAAUAUAUUGAACCGCAUGGUUCAAUAGUGAAAGACGGUUUUGCUGUCACUUAUAGAUGGAUCCGCGCCGCAUUAGCUAGUUGGUAAGGUAACAGCUUACCAAGGCAACGAUGCGUAGCCGACCUGAUAGGGUGAUCGGCCACACUGGAACUGAGACACGGUCCAGACUCCUACGGGAGGCAGCAGUAGGGAAUCUUCCGCAAUGGGCGAAAGCCUGACGGAGCAACGCCGCGUGAGUGAUGAAGGUCUUCGGAUCGUAAAACUCUGUUAUUAGGGAAGAACAAAUGUGUAAGUAACUAUGCACGUCUUGACGGUACCUAAUCAGAAAGCCACGGCUAACUACGUG